AUUGAACGCUGGCGGCAUGCCUUACACAUGCAAGUCGAACGGUAGCGCGUGCUUCGGCCUGGCGGCGAGUGGCGAACGGGUGAGUAAUACAUCGGAACGUGCCCUCGAGUGGGGGAUAACUAGUCGAAAGAUUAGCUAAUACCGCAUACGAUCUCAGGAUGAAAGUGGGGGACCGCAAGGACUCAUGCUCCUGGAGCGCCCGGUGUCUGAUUAGCUUGUUGGGGGGGUAACGGGCCAGCAAGGCGACGAUUAGUAGCUGGUCUGAGAGGACGACCAGCCACACUGGGACUGAGACACGGCCCAUACUCCGACGAGAGGCAGCAGUGGGGAAUUUUGGACAAUGGGGGAAACCCUGAUCCAGCAAUGCCGCGUGUGUGAAGAAGGCCUUCGGGUUGUAAAGCACUUUUGUCAGGAACGAAACGGUGGGGGCUAAUACCUUCUGCUAAUGACGGUACCUGAAGAAUAAGCACCGGCUAACUACGUGCCAGCCGCCGCUGUAA
rnacentral:rRNA from 1 species